AUUGAACGCUGGCGGCAGGCCUAACACAUGCAAGUCGAGCGAGCGGCGGACGGGUGAGUAAUGUAUGGGGACUGCCCGAUAGAGGGGGAUAACUCCUGGAAACGGUAGCUCAUACCGCAUACUAUCGGAUUACCCAUAUUGGAUUAGCUAUUAGGUGGGGUAAUGGCUCACCUAGGCGACGAUCCCUAGCUGGUCUGAGAGGAUGAUCAGCCACACUGGGACUGAGACACGGCCCAGACUCCGACGGAGGCAGCAGUGGGGAAUAGUGCACAAUGGGCGCAAGCCUGAUGCAGCCAUGCCGCGUGUAUGAAGAAGGCCCUAGGGUUGUAAAGUACUUUCAGUCGGGAGGCGUUACCGACAGAAGAAGCACCGGCUAACUCCGUGCCAGCAGCCGCGGUAAUUC
rnacentral:rRNA from 1 species